AACGAGACCUUAACCUGCUAAAUAGCCCGUAUUGCUUUGGCAGUACGCUGGCUUCUUAGAGGGACUAUCGGCUCAAGCCGAUGGAAGUUUGAGGCAAUAACAGGUUAACACACAGGCCUGUAACAGUGGGCCUCUAUAAAAAAGAUAACCGCUAGUCCAGCACUUUACCUCCGUAGGGGAAGCCCCCAACUAUCGGGCGGAGGAGGCACUCAGAUGCCGGGUGCGGGCAACACCACCUGGAACAGGGAAC
rnacentral:rRNA from 1 species